CAUCGUCUGCCAUUUCAACUAUUGAUUGAAACAUACAUGGAAUCAUACAUGACAGUCAUAGAAAUCGUCUUACUACAAAUUUCUACAAAGUCCUACAAAGUCCGGAAUUAUACAUGUAUAUAAUGAAAUCAUAAAAUAACAUGAAUCCUACAAAGUCCGGAAUAUUUAUACAAAUUUCUACGAAUUUCUACGAAUUUCUAGCAAUAACCACAUGCGGUGCCUAGGUUGUGACGGCGGCGGUCAGGGCGGCGGAGGCGGGGACGGUUCCCUGGAACCACGGGCGGUGCCUAGGUUGUGACGGCGGCGGUCAGGGCGGCGGUACGGUGUAGGCGGAGACAGUUCCCCGGAACCACGGGCGGUGCCUACUAGGUUGUGACGGCGGCGGGACGGCGGAGGGGACACAUAUACAAAAACCUAACUUAAAAAAAAUCUAACUUAAAAAAAAUCUAACUUAAAAAUCUAACUUAAAAAUAUAACUUAAAAUCUAACUUAACAAUCUAACUAAAAAAUCUAACUUAAAAAUAUAACUUAAUUUUCUAAAUUAACAAUCAUACUUAAAAAUCUAUCAUAAAAAUAUAACUUAAUUUUCUAACUUAAAAAAAAAAGGCCCUGCUGGCGCCAGUGCCGGCCGGCGCGGCGGCAAACCUCUCGCGCGCGGUCGUCAACGGUGGCCGGAGCGACGAGGUGGCCG
rnacentral:lncRNA from 1 species